GUGGAUUACCAGGACUUCCUCAAGUACGAGGUGUCCAAGAUGGUUUCACUUAAUCUGGUGCAGGCAUAUGUGAUGUGGCUCGGCUCUGAGGUUGACGUGGCCUGACCUCGGUUACAAACCUCUAUGUUGAAGAGGAGGAAGAUAAUAGCCACCAAGUAGGCUAGCUGAAUAGAUUGCAUCUUUUAAGUCAGACUGAAGGCAGGUCCGUAGCUAGCCGAUGUCCAUGCUAACAGAUCUUGGUGAUGGUGUGAACUUGUUCUAUGUGCUAAACUAAUUUUGUGAAUAGCUACAUCAAUGAUCCCUUAAUUUUGUGCUGAAAUGAUACAUGGAUCGACUUUGAGCAUUUUAUUUGUGCCAUCUCUUUUUUUCUGAACAAAAUACCAGGUGCAUGUUACGGUUUCAUGUCCUGGUAUUAUAACAAAUCUAGGAAGAGAUUGUCUCUGAAAGUGAGUCGCAAAUGGAUAGGUUUAUUUUUGCAACGCGGGAGAUGGCCAACAUAGAUGCUUAGAUGCUAUGUCAGUUAGUGGUCUUCAUCUUCCUCCUAUUUGUACCUCCCUGCCACUCUUGAUCUGGUAGUGUGCUCUAAACCAAAGGUACCGGCUGCACAUCGUCGAUCUCACUCAUCGAGAAGUACACAAUGAGGUGUAUGACUAGCUUGGCAUUAAGUUCUAGGUGUUCAGUAUUUUUGUUUAGAAGCUAUAUUUAGAUAUUUUGAGCAGAUAAUGUUGAUGUGCUGUUUGUGAACACUUUUCUAUGCAAUGUGGCUAGCUAGCACAUUGCCAACACUGUAUAGACAUGUUUGAUGAUGAUGUCAUGUGUUUUGU